rnacentral:rRNA from 1 species
CUACGGGGGGCAGCAGUGGGGAAUCUUAGACAAUGGGGGAAACCCUGAUCUAGCCAUGCCGCGUGAGUGACGAAGGCCUUAGGGUCGUAAAGCUCUUUCGCUGGGGAAGAUAAUGACUGUACCCAGUAAAGAAACCCCGGCUAACUCCGUGCCAGCAGCCGCGGUAAUACGGAGGGGGUUAGCGUUGUUCGGAAUUACUGGGCGUGAAGCGCGCGUAGGCGGACUGGAAAGUUGGGGGUGAAAUCCCGGGGCUCAACCCCGGAACGGCCUCCAAAACUAUCAGUCUAGAGUUCGAGAGAGGUGAGUGGAAUUCCGAGUGUAGAGGUGAAAUUCGUAGAUAUUCGGAGGAACACCAGUGGCGAAGGCGGCUCACUGGCUCGAUACUGACGCUGAGGUGCGAAAGCGUGGGGAGCAAACAGGAUUAGAUACCCGUGUAGUC